rnacentral:rRNA from 1 species
GAUGAACGCUGGCGGCGUGCUUAACACAUGCAAGUCGAACGGUGAAGCCAAGCUUGCUUGGUGGAUCAGUGGCGAACGGCUGAGUAACGCGUAGGUGACCUGCCCCGAAGUGGGGGAUAACUGCCCGAAAGGGUGGCUAAUACCGCCUGUGGCGACGAGUGCAUGCUCGUCAUCAACGCCGCGAGGCGCUUCGGGAGGGGGCUGCGUCCGCUUAGCUCGUUGGUGGGGUAACGGCUCACCAAGGCGACGAUCGGUAGGUGGUCUGAGAGGGCGAUCACCCAGACUGGGACUGAGACACGGCCCAGACUCCUACGGGAGGCAGCAGUCGGGAAUUUUGCUCAAUGGGGGAAACCCUGAAGCAGCAACGCCGCGUGCGGGAUGAAGGCCUUCGGGUUGUAAACCGCUUUUGUCAGGGACGAUAAUGACGGUACCUGGCGAAUAAGUCACGGCUAACUACGUGCCAGCAGCCGCGGUAACAC